UGGCCAUCCAGUUGUGCAGCAACUCUGAGGGCCAGACAUUUGCAAUAGACGCUGACCGAGUUAUUCUGACGCUCCAUGGGCUCGGCGCAAGCUUUCGGCUCCGUCUGCAAGCCGUUGAUCGAUCAGGGAAAGGAAGUCGAAGUGGAGAAGAUUCUGGCUUCAAGUACUACGGCACUGUCGGGGGAGUGUGUGCGGCCGUGGUUGCUGUGAUGGCUACUGCCAUUGGUGUCUACUUUGUCAGACAGUACAGAAUGAGACAACAGAAGCAGAGUCAGGCCAACACUGAAACCAUCGUUCCUCUUGGUGCUAGAAGCUAUAUAAAUGGCUCCUUCUCUGAACCACCAUCGUUCGCAUUGUCUGUGACAUCACCAGCGUCUGUCAUCCCUCAGCCAGGAACAAGGACCGGCCACUUGUAAAGGCAAGACACAGCGGACAAACAAAGUGGUGUUCAAUUUGACCCU